CAGGACUCCAUUUUACACCAUCCAUGCUGCUGAAAAGACACAGUUUGCAUCUCUCCUUAUGAUAGAAUCGCUGAUACCCUCCACUAGAAUCUUACGCAGGUCCAAUCGGGCAGACCCUUGCCCGACCUGGACCCACAGACCUGCAAGCAGCCCUGACCCGCCACCCACUACCGGAGCAAACCGGCAAACAGCUUGCUUACCCACCAACUCGGUGCCCGCGAAAACUGUAAAGUGACUUCACUUUUAACCGGAUGUGGCACCACACGGGACCCUAUUCUGCUAGGUACAUGGCCCAGGGCAGCUACAAGGGCACUAGGAGAGAAGUCAAGAUGGUGACACAGAGUUUUCUAGGAUUGUAGAGAAGGCCAGUGGGUUUUAUGAGUGAAGAGGAGAUUAUAAUCACUGCCAGGUAUGUAACAAAUUGGCCUGUUAUUAAGUCCCAGACAUUCCCAUACACUGACAUGAAAAGGUUGUGUCAAUGAAUGAGUGUUUGCACAGGAGUGAAGAUGUGUGGCCAUGAGUAUGAAUAAGUGAGAAUGACUGUGAGGAGAGGAACUGUAAGAAUCAGUGUGAGAGUGAGAGUGCAUGGGAGUGUGCUGAUGUGCCAUAGAGACAGUUUGGCUGAAUGCAAGAGUGAUAUUAUAUGAGUGCAACAGUGAUUAUAAAAGAGGGAGUCUGUACAUGAAUGAAACAACACAUCACAGUCACACACCACUGGUUGAAUUAGCACAUGUUUAUACAUGUGAGCAGUAACGCCACGCCAAGGCUUCAACCUUGUUACCGGCACGCCGGGUGUAACGCCUCACACAACAGGACAAACGUGACAAACAAAGACAACAAACGAGGUUUUAACUGCACGUGUCUAUGACGUCCCACCCUUUGCUCGUUUAACAACAAC